GUGCAGCAGGCGAGAAUACUUUACAAUGCGGGAAACCGCUAUAAGGGGACACCGAGUGCCAGCAUAUUAUGUUGGCUGUCCACAUGUGUAAACGGCAUGUGUUAGCAAGGGCCGGGCAAGACCGGUGCCAGCCGCCGCGGUAACACCGGCGGCCCGAGUGGUAAUCACUUUUAUUGGGUCUAAAGGGUCCGUAGCCGGUUUGAUCAGUUCUUCGGGAAAUCUGACAGCUCAACUGUUAGGCUUCCGGGGAAUACUGUCAGACUUGGGGACCGGGAGAGGUAAGAGGUACUACAGGGGUAGGAGUGAAAUCUUGUAAUCCCUGUGGGACCACCAGUGGCGAAGGCGUCUUACCAGAACGGGUCCGACGGUGAGGGACGAAAGCU
rnacentral:rRNA from 1 species